GACGAACGCUGGCGGCGUGCCUAACACAUGCAAGUCUACGAGAAAAGGGUAGCAAUAUCCUGAGUAAAGUGGCGCACGGGUGAGUAACACGUAGGCAAUCUGCCUUUAGGACGGGAACAACCCCGGGAAACCGGGGCUAAUACCCGAUAAUGCAGCGGCACCGCAUGGUGACAGUUGUUAAAUGCCCGCAAGGGCGCCUAGAGAUGAGCCUGUGUCCCAUUAGGUAGUUGGUGAGGAACGGCCCACCAAGCCUACGAUGGGUAGCUGAUCUGAGAGGAUGAUCAGCCACACUGGAACUGAGACACGGUCCAGACUCCUACGGGAGGCAGCAGUGAGGAAUAUUGCGCAAUGGCCGAAAGGCUGAC
rnacentral:rRNA from 1 species